GAUGAACGCUAGCGGCCAGGCCUAAUCAUGCAAGGCGAAGGGGCAGCAAUGUCACUGUCGUACGGGUGCGUAACGCGUAUGCAACCUACCUAUCACAGGGGAAUAGCCUUUGGAAACAGGGAUUAAUACCGCAUAAAGCAGGGACACCGCAUGGUGAUAUUGCUAAAGAUUUAUCGGUGAUAGAUGGGCAUGCGUCUGAUUAGUUAGUUGGCAGGGUAACGGCCUACCAAGACGAUGAUCAGUAGGGGGCGUCAGAGCGUGGUCCCCCACACUGGUACUGAGACACGGACCAGACUCCUACGGGAGGCAGCAGUGAGGAAUUUUGGACAAUGGGCGCAAGCCUGAUCCAGCCAUGCCGCGUGCGGGAAGAAGGCCUUCGGGUUGUAAACCGCUUUUGUCAGGGAAGAAAUCUUCUGGGUUAAUACCUCGGGAGGAUGACGGUACCUGAAGAAUAAGCACCGGCUAACUACGUG
rnacentral:rRNA from 1 species